AACGAACGCUGGCGCCAGGCUUAACACAUGCAAGUCGAGCGCCCCGCAAGGGGAGCGGCAGACGGGUGAGUAACGCGUGGGAAUCUGCCCAUCUCUACGGAAUAACGCAUGGAAACGUGUGCUAAUACCGAAUACGUCCUUCGGGAGAAAGAUUUAUCGGAGAUGGAUGAGCCCGCGUUGGAUUAGCUAGUUGGUGGGGUAAAGGCCUACCAAGGCGACGAUCCAUAGCUGGUCUGAGAGGAUGAUCAGCCACACUGGGACUGAGACACGGCCCAGACUCCUACGGGAGGCAGCAGUGGGGAAUAUUGGACAAUGGGCGCAAGCCUGAUCCAGCCUUGCCGCGUGAGUGAUGAAGGCCCUAGGGUUGUAAAGCUCUUUCACCGGUGAAGAUAAUGACGGUAACCGGAGAAGAAGCCCCGGCUAACUUCGUGCCAGCCGCCGCCGUAAUAC
rnacentral:rRNA from 1 species